GGGGGUCCUGGAUGGAGCUUUUCUGGCAUUCAGGUGCUCCUCACAUGUUCCACUGUUCAGGGAUAGGACAACCUUAUACUGCUUUUAUAAAUGUAGCUGGUUUUGGAAAGCAGUAAGAGGGAAACCAGUUUUCCAUAUAUUCCUAAGAAGAUGGUGAGUAAACAAUCAUGUUUUCCUGAGUAACUUUAGUUUUAUGAGCUUCUUUCUCUCUACUGCAGGUCCCCACCCCACUCCCCACUCUAAAAUCAUGCUUGUAAUCCCAUUGUUUAUAUAAGGGUGGCUUUUUGUUUCUCAUCACAACCAUCUGUGUGCUUUCAAUACUUCUAUGCAAGUAACCCAUAAAGGAAAUCAGUAAAAUUCAUACUGAAUCCACAUGAAGUGGAUGCAGUCAUUUGGGACAGUGCAGACCACUGCAGUGGACAGGAGUAGCCUCUGUCGGCAGAUAUGAUUUCAGGUGACAUUAGCCUGCAAUUAUUUAGCCAUGUGCUUUAUAACAUUAAUUCCACUUAUGUUGCUGUCAUCAUGGGACUUAAGUAUUUAGGAAAUAAAAAGAAAUAACAUUUAAAGAGAGCCCUACCAUUAUUCAUUUUAAUGUAAAAUGGCUACUUCUCAUGAUCAUCUAAUUGAUAACGAAGACCUCAACUUCCUUAUAUUACCUCAGAAAAAAGUCUGACAUGUUAACCAACCACUGGACUGACCACUGGAAGGAAAAAAGACUGAAGGUGUUUUAUUUUGCUCAAGGGCAGUCAUCCAACAUCUGCUUUUGUGACAAGUUAACGUAAUUGUAUUGUAGAGGUGUAAGGAUAAAAAUGACCUAAAAAAUCAUCUUCUCCAACCCUCUUUUUAUAGAUGAGGAAACUUAGGUCUCAAGCUGUGAAGCACUUUGCCCAAGAUUACUCUGGUCAUUACAUUUAUAUGAAUUUAUAUGAAGCUAGAAAGUAGAACCUCUGCCUCCCAUUUGGUGCUCUUAUCACAUCAUCAGGCCACUUGCUUGCUUAGUCAGCAUUUCUUUGCUUAACUAAAUGUAAGGAGGCUCCCCAUAGGGCUUGCCUGCUGAGGAUGGGGUGCAGAGGGAGAGUAAAAGAGAGAGCUCUCUCCUAGUUUUCAAGUCGACUAGUUUUCAUUGGUUUGAUUUUAUUGAAAAAGAUAAAAAAUUAGAGCCAGGUUCCUAUUCCUGUUCCCUCCCCAAGCCACUGAAGAAACAAAUUUGCUAACAUUCCCCAAAUUAUUGUCUUUUACUCUCUCUUUUUACAGUAAGAGCAUUACUGGCAAAAAGUUUCCCAGAAUCAUGUUCCUCUUAGAUAUUCCUCCUUGAUGUGGAUAUGAAGGCUUGCGUGGGAAGCUCCAGAUGCGGGCCCAGCCCAGCCUGCUCUGCCUCUGCUGCUCGUGCUCGCUGCUUGUCUCCGUGUCUCCAUUUGAAGGGCUGCAGGGCGAGUCGUGACCCAGGUCCACUUUCUUACUGUUAAAUCCUGCCUUGGUUGUCAUGUUUUUAUAGAAGAGGAAAAGCAUUUUCUCCCUGAGUUCCGGAGCAGUCUUGAGGUCAGGGGUAAGAUUUUUCUUGGUAAGUAUUAAGAAGUAGUUGCUGAAUGAUAAAGGGGUGGAAAGGGGAAGGGUGCCUUAGGAAAAAAGGUGUUCUCGGUGAUGGGAUUGCUUCCGGUUUGUUUUCCAAUCUCUUCAGGAAUGAUUUUCUGCCCUCUUCCUGCACCCUGUGUUCUGAUUCCUGGAGCAUGCAGUACUCCUUCACUUCCUUUCUCCCAGGGGCUGUUAGAAGAAUAACCUUGAAAGAGAAAACAUGUGGGCUGUGGUAGACUUUGGAUUCUGUCCUCCAGAUACUUGACUCUUUCACUCAUGAGAAACUCCUACCUUAGGCUGACUUGGAUCUGGGUUAGCAGUGCCCAGUCCAUUUGCACAUCCUCUGGGCCAUGUGGGCUGUUCUGGGGUCUUGACCUUUUCUUCUUGAGGUGAUCCCCACUUCUGUUGCCAUAGACUAUGUAUUUAAGAAGCUUGCCUUUCAAUUUCCUGCCAAUGGCUGGAUCUUGGAAAUGACUCUGCACAGUGCUGAAGGGCCUGCUAGGGGAGUCUCUAAGGAUCACUUCUCCCCUGAAUGGUGGCCUGCUGUCCACAGGAAGCUUUCUCUGUUUUUCUCCCUGCUCUGGAUUAUCCAAAGACUCUAAAGAUAAAACCAGAGCUGGUUUGCCCUCCCCUCUGGAGGGAGACCCCCUUAUUUUUACAGUUGCCCUCCCAUUCUUAUCUUUAGAGUCUGCCUUUAAGGUUGCUCUGGAAGCUGUGGGUGGGUAGAGUCUGUCCUUGUCCAGGCUAAGUCUGAAGAGCAUCUAGUUCUUCUCCCCCUCUCUCCUGUUCUGGAUUAUUGCCUUCACUGCUGCCUCACUCUCAUCCACCAAGUUGGUCAUGUAGUUACACAACAUAUUCUUGGAGGUUAGCUGUUUGACCAAGUCCUUGUUGCCUAGCAACCAAGCAUGCACCAGCUCUGACUUUCAGAGCUUCAAGUGGCAUCAUUUAUAAAAGGCUUUCUGCUCCAUUAGCCAGGCAUUAGCUUCAUAUUUCUUCAUGGAGUCCAGAAAACUGAGUUUCUUUUUCAGCAAAUUCUCUUCUUUCCAGUUGAAGGACAGAAAUGAGUAGGACUUCUCUGUUUCCAUAAGCUUUAUGUUCUCUCCUGAUAUGGAAUAGCACCUAUGUCCCUGAUUUUUGGUGCUAACAAGCUCUGAUGGUCACUCUGUUGGUGGCUUUUCCAGGAGAUGCCCAGUUUGGUCUGGGGCUCUGACAUUUCUCUGCCCACUUGGAGACCUGGCAGCCAGUGUUCUGUCAGCAGACCUGUGAAGGAGCUUAGUGACGUGUGGGCACUAUGACCAGAGGGUUCUAUUCCAGGCUCCAGUGUUUGUUGUUAAGGACUGUGGAUAAUCAAGGGCAAGUUCUUCUUCCAAGGACAGAGGUCCUGGGAGGCUUCUUCACUGACCUGUUGAGCGCAGGCCCAACUUCUACCUGAGAACUGUCCCCAUUCCAAGGGGAAGGAGACUUAAACGCCAUCUACCGUCUCUGAGUGAUAGGACCUGAAUUGGCAAUAUCUCCCUGGCAGGUGGUAAUGGGGAAGUAUUUAAUAAGAUUAACAACAGAGAUAUGAAAUUUAGAAGUAUAAUCUAAUAGGAGAACUUUUAUGUAGGUGGUUGAAAAAAGAACUUUUUAUAGUUUUAUUGUAUGAAUAUCUCAAGGAUAGAGUUGGUCAAUUGGUUAAAGUUGGGCCCUUUCUUUAAUUGUGUUAUAUAAGAAUUUUAUUCAAAGAUGAGGCCUCCCAAAAGUUAAAAAGGGGGGCGGUGGGGAGGUGGGAGGUAGAGGAGGAGGAAGAAGAGAAGGUAAUAAAUGAGGAUACAUUUGCUGAGGGUGCAUCAGCUGUUGACAGACUGUCCCUGGAUCCUGAGCUCAAGAAAUGUAGCCCUAAUUGUAGACCUUCUCUAGAUUCAGAGAGGGUGACAACAGGGUGGCUCACAGAGCCUGCUAGAAGGUGCUUCUGCCAGCCUGCAGAUGUCCCAGAUUCCUAAUCCUGGCUCCCUUAUUCCUCAAGCUGUAGCUCCAUUUACCUAAGCACCUUCAAAUAAACUGCUGCGUUUGUUCUACCAGGAAUUUAGUGUGUUAGUGACCCAGCCACUUUGCAACUCAGAAUGUUACUUGUUAUGGUUUCUUUUUUUUAGCAACUGACCUUUUAACAACUAUUAUCUUCCUCUCCUUAGGGGUCCGUUGAUUGUUGCCCAUGUAGUAUGUAAAUCAUCUGUCCUCUUCCUCUUCCUCCUAUCCCUUUUACUCCUGUUUCCCAGUCUAUCCUCAACUCUCCUCAAGAGCAGCAGACCCCAACCUCUUUUAUGUAAACGUUGUAUUCCUGAAACAGUGCUGAGCCUUCCUUCAGCAUACCAAACCGUCUCUAAACCUUAGACUUCCUCUGUGUUUGUUCCCCUUAAGAGUUACUGCUUUGCCAAACCCUGCUGUGUAAAAUCACAAAGCUUUGAUAGCUCCCACACCUUUCUGGAGCUUAUCCUUUACUUACAUUUAGGGUAAAAGUGGUAUUUUUAUUAGUAAAAUUAAAUUCUAUAAAAGUGAUUUCUAAAUUAGAAAAUAUUAUAUAAAUCUAAAUGAGUUUUCAUGAAUUCAGGUUGCCUCCCAAAUAUCCAGGCCAUGUUUCUCCAACUGAAUGGCUAUCAUUCAGUUUGGAGGGCAGACCCAGCCACAGGGGUAGAUAGGUCCAUCUAAGCCAAUCAGAAUAAUGCCACCUGUCUUACCACAGUUGACUGGCUUGGAUUGGGUCCAACCAAAGCCACUAUGACAGAAUGUUUACUAUAGCUUGAGGAAAAGAGCAUGCUUCUCUUAUGUGGGUUUUAAGAAGCAACAAGCUGCCUAAACAAGGAAGCAUGUUGUUCCAGUUGCUAUUAACGCCAGGUGCUGUCAUGCCUUUCUACCAACACGCACACCCAGCCUUGAGAUGAUGCUGACCCAUGGAUGGUUGUGUGAUGGGACAAAACCCAGAUUUUAAAUCACAUGGCUGAGCCAUUUCAUUAAAUCAUCCUGGAAGUCUUCAGCUAACGGUAUUUUAACUGACAUAAGAAAAUUUUACUUCUUAGCAAAGUAUCAGAACUCCUUUGUAGGGGUAAGUGACUGUGGGAGAAUGAUGUUGACCCAUUGCAGACUGUAGAGGAAGGUCCCUCUUCCUCUACCAUCACAAUGGUUUGCAUGGUUUGGUUGUGUUAUUGCAACUGGUGAAUGAGCUGAAUUAACCCAGUUCUCGUUUAUUGACUGUCUUUCCCUUCUCCAUCAGGGUUGUUUCCCCUAGUUUGAUCCCCUACAGAUUAGAAGUGCUAGUUUGUUUUAUAGUCAACAGAGCCCAUCCAGGGAUAAUCUUCAAAUAUUUAACAAUGUGGCACCAACCAAUUGGAACAGAUGCCAGCUGUAAACAACCAUUGAAGCUGAGAACACUUCUGUACCUGAAAUGCUACUGCCUUUAAUUAUACAUGUUUUAUAAAAGUAUAUAACUUUUAAUUUAAAAAGUAUUAUCAAGUAUUAUAAGGCUUUUAAACUAUACAUUGUGAUAGGUAUAAUAUCACUUGUAGGUACACUGUAAUAAAGAGGUAUAUAAUAAACCCUAAGGCAACCACUAAAUUAAUAAAACAAAAUUGUAAUUAGUAAGCCAACAAAGGAGAUAAAAUAGAGUAUAAAACACUUGUUAUGGGUUGAAUUGUGUCCCCCCAAAAAGUAUGUUGAAGUCCUAACCCCUGAUACCUGUGAAUAUGACCUUAUUAGGAAAUAAGAUCUUUGCAGAUGUAAUCAACUGAAGGUGAGAUCAUUAGGAUGAGACCUAAUUCAAUAUGACUGGUGUCCUUAUUAGAGGAUGAGAACAGCACACACAGGGAGAAGAUGGCCAUGUGAUGAUGGAGGCAGAGAUUGAAGAAAUGAAUCUAAAAGCUAAAGAACCCAAGGAUUGCUGAAAAAUAUCAGAAGGUAGAAGAGGCAAGAAGGAUUCUCUCCUACAGGUUUCAGAGAGAACAUGACCCUGCUGGCACCUUGAUUUCAGAUGACUAGGCUCCAAAACUGUGAGACAAAAAUUUCUAUUAUUUUAAGAAACCUGGCUUGUACUACUUUUUUACAUAGCUCUAGGAAAUGAAUACAAUACUCAACCCAAAAGAAGGC
rnacentral:lncRNA from 1 species